rnacentral:lncRNA from 1 species
CUGUAAUGACAAGAGGUUUUAUUACGACGACUCGCGUAGGGUUGCUCAGCCUCGCAGGGAGAGUCAACCCCGAUUUGUAAAAAGUACACCUCUUUGAUACUCUUUUAAGGGGGGUCAUGCAGUUAUUUUAUUAUUGCUUAGCAAAGCAGCGGCACAUUUUUAAUUUGGCAGAAAACUCUGUCAGCAAGAUCUAAGCAGUUUGUGGUUUUCAGACUGAGGCGGGUAGGGGAGUUUUCUCAAGGACUGUUAUUUCUGGCAGCUGUAGUCAUCAUAACCUUGAAAGACCCCACCAUAAGGCUUAGCAAGCUAGCUGCAGUAACGCCAUUUUGCAAGGCAUGAAAAAGUACCAGAGCUGAGUUCUCAAAAGUUACAAGGAAGUUUAGUUAAAGAAUAAGGCUGAAUAAUACCGGGACAGGGGCCAAACAGGAUAUCUGUGGUCAAGCACCUGGGCCCCGGCUCAGGGCCAAGAACAGAUGGUACUCAGAUAAAGCGAAACCAGCAACAGUUUCUGGAAAGUCCCACCUCAGUUUCAGGUUCCCCAAAUGACCGGGAAAUACCCCAAGCCUUAUUUAAACUAACCAAUCAGCUCGCUUCUCGCUUCUGUACCCGCGCUUUUUGCCCCCCAGCCCUAGCCCUAUAAAAAGGAUAAAAACUCCACACCCGGCGCGCCAGUCAUCCGAUAGACUGAGUCGCCCGGGUACCCGUGUUCCCAAUAAAGCCUUUUGCUGUUUGCAUCCGAAUCGUGGUCUCGCUGAUCCUUGGGAGGGUCUCCUCAGAGUGAUUGACCACCCAGCUUGGGGGUCUUUCAACCUUUAGUCAGUCCCUGUAGAUAGGGAAGGGGUUGGGUCUUGAAUUUGUUUACACUGGCAGGGAAAAGGAAAAUUCUUUUUUUUUUUUUGGUUUUAUGGUUUUUUUUGUUUUUUUGUUUUUAGAGACAGGGUUUUUCUGUAUAGAUCUGGCUGUCCUGGAACUCACUCUGUAGACCAGGCUGGCCUUGAACUCAGAAAUCCACCUACCUCUGCCUCCCGAGUGCUGGGAUUAAAGGCAUGUGCCACCACCCCUAACAGGGAAAAUUCUUUAAGCAGCAGGAGACAGCAGGAGAUGGGGAGAAGCACUGCAAACAGCUUGCAGCAGGAGACAAGGGGAAGCAAGCUCUGCAAAUAGCUUUGGUGAAAUAGCCAAGCUGAAAACUGUAUUUCUUCAAGGGCUAAGGCUGACCACUCCAAUAAGGCUCUUCUUAGGGUCUUAAAAGCUAUGUCCAGCCUGGCAGUGGUGGCGCAUGCCUUUAAUCCCAGCACUUAGGAGGCAGAGACAGUCGAAUUUCUGAGUUUGAGGCCAGCCUGGUCUACAGAGUGAGUUCCAGGACAGCCAGGACUGCACAGAGAAACCCUGUCUCGAAAAACCAAAAACCAAACCAAAACAAACCAAAACAAAACAACAACAACAAAAAAAAACAUGUCCAUCUCAGAGAUCUAUUUUAUUUUGUCUUCUUGGCCUCUGGGGGCCUCAUCUAAUGGUUUAGCUAUCUCAGUGUCUGGUACCCAAAGACUACAGAACCUGGCAGAUUCCAGAAAUUCCCAUACUUGCCUUCAGGUUGAUGGAGCUGGGAUGCUAAGGACGGUUUGCUUCCAGGCGACCGACAGCAUGCAUUGGCCAGCCCCUCCCCCCUUGAAUAUGUACCCCAGGUAGGUGACCUCAAGUUGACAAAUCUGGACCUUCUUAGCAGACACUCAGUAGCCAAGUUGACUCAGUUCUCAUGUGGCCUUCCUGGAAGGUCUCCAAGUUGGGGUUGGAGGCACAAUACAUACUGGAGUACAGUCCUUACGCAGUGCCUCAAAGGUGGUGGGUGAGUUUUUGAAUCCUUGAGGCAGGUGUGUCAGUUGUCCCUUAAAACCCCUCUGCAAGUCUUGCCAUUCAAACCGCAAAUAGAAACUGGCUUUGAGUGCCAGAGGCAGGCCACAAAGCUAUUCAGUGUGGCUGAAGCUGUCAGGGGCAGUUUGGUUAACAAAAGCCAUGUUCACAGCUAUUGGUGUUCUCUGGCUUCUGGGUCAAAAGCAGGGUAGGUCCUAUAGGCUUCAAAAAGUCUUUCUAGAUAUUCUCUGAGGCUCUCAUUCUUUCUCUGCAUCACCUGGCUCACCUUAGAUAAAUUUGUGGGCCGCCCGUUAGAAUCUGGCCAUAGACCCGGAGCUUCUCACCUCUCCUUACCUUGGGGAGCGUUAAAAUCCCAGUCAAAUGAAAGGCUGCAUCGAUAGAUAUCAGCCUGAACAGAGUAGGCAGUCCAUUUGCUCCCAGAACCAAAUUUCUGGGCGGGGUCCCAGGAUCCUCUCCCUCCCACUCUGUUGUGAAGAGGACCAGGAGCAGUUGCUGACAGUCAUCCAGGGCUGGGCACUUCCUAGGCUGCAAGACACUCCAGGGUCCAUCUUUGAAGGUAGAAAUGAGUCUCCUUGAAGCUGUUCUCCUGGAGGCUGCAGAAUGAGCUCAUGUUAUUGAAAUUACCAGAGAGAGUGGAAGCAGGCUCUUGAUGUGCCCAUUUUCUCUGUGGCAGAGUGGGAUACUCUGCAAACAGAACUCUGUCUUGGAUGCUUGGAUGCUGCCCUGCCUGGGUGUCCCAGCAACCCGGGAUACUUACUCAUCAAUGCCAGACUCCAUCACAGCAUCUUCCAGAACUUCCACAUUCACUAAUGGUCUACCGUGCAUCUCUCUUUCAGAGAGCCAAUGACUUGUUGGGACUUAUUCUGAGAUGUCGACACAUUAGAACUGAAAGUAAAUCUCCAUGGAUACUCUUUAUCAUACCUGUGUACAGAGUAGGUCAAGGCACAUAGCCAAGGCUCGAUUCAAGACUAAAAUCUAGACCAACCCAUCAAACACAGAAGUGGAUGCUCACAGUCAGCUAAUGGAUGGAUCACAGGGCUCCCAA